rnacentral:misc_RNA from 1 species
GUGAAGAACGCAGCGAAAUGCGAUAAGUAAUGUGAAUUGCAGAAUUCAGUGAAUCAUCGAGUCUUUGAACGCACAUUGCGCCCCCUGGUAUUCCGGGGGGCAUGCCUGUCCGAGCGUCAUUGCUGCCCUCAAGCACGGCUUGUGUGUUGGGCCGCCGUCCCCGGUUUCCCCCGGGGACGGGCCCGAAAGGCAGCGGCGGCACCGCGUCCGAUCCUCGAGCGUAUGGGGCUUUGUCACCCGCUCUGUAGGCCCGGCCGGCGCCAGCCGACACCCAACUUUAUUUCUAAGGUUGACCUCGGAUCAGGUAGGGAUACCCGCUGAACUUAAGCAUAUCAAUAAGCGGAGGA